ACCAUAUCUAGCACUUGCACAGUUGUGCUCCUACACAACAAAGGGUAACGUGAGUCUAAAAAUCCCAGAUAAAAUGGGCAGCUCCUCAGAAAAUUCCCAAGCUUUCUGCAUGAAAGAAGAAGUAAUAUUUAGGAAAAAAAUGCCUGUACAUUAAUCUUGUUAUCAAAUAGUUCAUUUUAUUUUGUUUUCUCUAGCCCCUUUGACAGCCACUACUGAUGAUUAUAAGUUACGUCACUUAAAAGGAUGAAAUUACUCACAUAUCCUCAGGCUCUGUGGGGAGGCACAGCUCUGAAUCGCUCCAAGCCAUAGGGGAGGGUGGAAGAAGAAUGGACAGCUGAAUCAGCUAUGAGAUCAGUGACUCAACGGCAAGAAAAUUAUGCUAGCAGGUUGCAUUGUGGAGCCAUUUCAAGAUAGCCAAGCAGAUUUUCUUCCAGCCAGAACUAAAUCAGAAGAUGCAGGCCUGCCUCCCUUCAAAUGCUAUCAGAUAUGUUGCUGCUCCUUGAGCGUCACUUACCCAGUAACACAUCCUGGCCAGCAAUCUAAAAAUGGAAUUCCAGGUACUGUUUUCAUUGGCACUUUUCUUCAGCUCUCUCUUUCUGCUCUGAUACAGCUUCUCAGUGUGCAGCAUCAAGUUACAACGUCCUUCUUCUACUGCCAUAUUGUAUUGCAGUUGUAUGAAUUUGCCAUCUACAUUUAUGCUUUUUCAUUAUUCCCUCAGAGGUUGGUAGUAAUUAUAUUCAUCAUUCUUUUCAAUAUUAAUUUUCCACAACAGAUUUCAUCAACUGUCUACAUGUAAAAUGGUUCUUUGGAUCUCAGCCUCAUGACUCCCUGCUUAUUCAUAGAAAAUAUUUUUUGUAAUCUCAGUAUACUCACUCAGGGUUUAGACAGAGAAACAACAGUUGAAGCAGUUCUGUUAAAAAAAAAAAAAGUGAAUUAACUUGUUUUGAUGUGAAGAGCCAAGAAGAUAGUCUGAAUGGCCAACAUCAGUAUCAUUUGGCUAUUUCCUCCACUUUGAGUCAUUGUGGCAUCAACUACUUUUUGUUUAUUGAUUAUGUGGAAAAUUAAGGCUUGCUUCCAGCAGCAGUAACUUCAGGAGAAUUGUUUCAGUGUAGCCAAAAGCAGAAUUUACACCCACUGUGCUAUGUUAGGUCAACACAUACUCUUUCUCUCAGUCUCUCUCUGUUUUUAAUAUCUCCUCUUGCUGUCUUCCUAUUGAAGAAUCAUAGCCAACUGCAAGACACAUACUUUCAUCCGAAAAAUCAAAGCUGGCUGCUCUCCAAGGUUCCUCAUUUUAACAUACCUGGAACAUCACUGUAAACAGGAACCACAUGUAUUUGUCAGUAGGGAACCCAAUAAUUUCACUCACCACAGGAAUCUUUGGAUGCAUACAUUAAUGGUAUAAGCAUGGACAAAAAUAAAGUUGUUCUGAAUGAGAUGCCUAGUGUUCACAAAAGCAGUAUGCAGUACCUUAACUAAAAUGGUCCUUUAUAGGAGACAAGAAAUGCUGGAGCUCUGAACACAUUAAAUAUGUAUUCUAAUCAAACUUUAAAAAAUAAAGAAAAUCAUUGUUAUCGCUGUCACAAAAUACCAUGGGACCGUGGAAUUUGUUUUCUCCCCAGCAUGUAAAACCAUAACUAGGCACGUGUGAUUUAAUAUAGCAGAGUGAUUUCCUGAUUUGUUCUUAAUUGACAGUAUGCACAAGCUGUAUUUUCAGCAUGAGUUAUUUUUGUUCUAGAUGAAAGACAGAAAACAGGAACAAUAGUAAAGUCUUCAUGAGAAAAGAUUCUUCCAUAACAUAUCAUUAUUGACUUUGUGUUGCAAAAUGAAAACUGCCCUUGGGAGAGCCAGUUUCAAGGAACGUCAGAUUGAAAGUAACUGCCACAGGUCCUAGAUCAGGAAACAAUUUAAGCAUCUGUCUAAUUUUAAUGGGAUUUAAAUACAUUCUUUGUUUAAGCACAUACAUAAAAGCCCUCAAAAAUGAGGAGUUAUUUUUAUAUACAUAUACACUUAUAAAUAUAUACAUAUAUAUUUAAUCAGUGUGCAUCGUAACAGAUUAAUGAAGAAUAGAAUUGAAUAUGCCUAAUGUAGUUCCCCUGAAUAUUUAUAAGUUCUAUUCUCUUGAAGGUUUCUGUAUUUGCCCUAUGGCUGAAGGUAGCUUGUUAGGAGCGGAACUGAUUUUUGCUCACUCUCAGCUCUUCAUCUGUAUUAAAAGAUUCAUAUUUUGUUGUAACAUUUUCAUUUGCGUCCCCCUCAGGCCAAUAAAAAACAUAGUCAUUUCCCUCCCCGGCAACUGCAUGGCCAUCAACUUUAAUUUCAGCACACUUUUCUCUUCCUGAACCUUUUUGUCUGGUAACAGCUGGUCAAUAUAUUUCUUCAUUACGUCUCUUCUUUCAAAAGCAGCAAUGUCAUGCUCCCAGCAGUAUGCCUUCUUGAUAACACCUUUGUCCUAAUUGUUUCAUCCCUUAUAAUUUUAUGCGUAUCCUACUGAUGGAUGCAGAAUGUCUGGGAGGCAUUUAUUAUAGAUUCUGUUUCCUCUAAAGUGUUCAUUAAGUUUCUGUUCAAGAAAAAAAGUCAUACCUAUGAUAAAUCAUAAUGCCCAGAAGUUCCUCACUUAAACAUACUGAAAUGGUAGACUCUCAUACGGAACUUUUAUUUACAAUUAAAGUUCUACUUUAUUUUCUCCAGUGCCCUUCCAAAUGUGUGUACAAAGCUUUCUGUUUAUCUGCUCAAUCCUAGGAGAUAAGCAGCAGUUCUAACAUACUUUACUGAAUGUAUCUGAAAUUGUUUCAAACAAUUGUGGGUUCUUAUCAAACAAUUUCUUCUGAUAAUCCAGAAGCAGACAAUUAACUCUUUUUUUAAUACUGUCAGCAGUCAAAAAAGCUACGUGCUGCUUUUAACACCUGCAACAUGCAUCAGCUAUAGCUAACUACCCAAUUGAUUAAUCAUCUCUGCAAAAUUGACAUGUAAUAUCUGUCUCAAAUACGUGGCCUGUGAAGAUGUGAAGGAUUUGAGUCCCAUUCAUUUUCUGUCACUUACCACUCAGAGCAAUUAUCAAUGUUAGAAACUGCAUUCUCAGGUAGUACCGUAUUUUCUGAGGUGGCUCUUUCGUAACUCUCUUAAUCAAGGUUAUUCUACAUACUGACUCUGAUGAAACUCACUCUGUGCCUUCUCUUCCAUACCUAAGGAUUAUUUGAGCUGUUUCAGUUCUGAACACAACCCCUUUGGCAUGCAUACUCAGAAAAACAUAAGGCUGUUGGGGAGUUCUUAAGCAACAGAAUCAUAUUCAACAGACCUGUUAACAUUUUGUAGAAUUUACUGAAUAUUGUCAUUUUUGUCAGUGGAUCAGACCUUUCUUCUUUCCCAUGACAAGUUAGUGGUAAUACUUAAUUAAAGGCAACCAAGCGAUAAAAUUUUCAUGAAAUUGCUAAAAAAAACCCUCUCCUGUGGCCAAAUCUGAUGAGUUAAAUGCUCUCAUUGUUUAUAUACCUGGCAGAGAAGGAAAGUAUCUGUUACCAUUAAGAAAAAAGGUAACAAAAUCAUACUGGCAAAAAUUACACUGCAAGAAGCAUUACAAAUUUUGCUUCCAGUUCAGCAAAGCUCUUCAGGGCAAGCUUACUUUUAGGCAUGUCAGGAGAGUAUUCGCAUAUUUAAGAACGUACAAGUGCUUGCCAGCUUUUCUAAAUCAGAGUCAUAACUGGAUGUUCUUAAGCAUCACAUCUAAUUUAGUUAAGAAAAAUGAUUUUAAGGCCAAAUCAAAUGGAGAUUGCAACUAAAAUACUAAUACCAAUUAAGAAACAGAGUAAGAGUGCAGCAAAUAGAAAGCAAACAUAAAGUUGACAACGCUUUAGAAAAGCAUUUGAAUACGAAGUUGUCUUUUAAAUAUUACAAUAAAUGCCUAAAAAAAUGCCUCCCUCCUACCUUCCCACCUAACCCUCAGGUUAGCUAUCAUUACUAGAACUGGCUGACUUUCUAAAUCCACCCUUAGGAAGAAUCUUAAGACACAAGAUAUGAAGGGAGUGAGCAUGUGUAUCUUCAUAUCGUUUCAAGGAAGUCUCUCCGUGAACGUGGAGCAACUCAUAAUGAAGCACAGAAACAUGUAUAUCAAAGGUUGAUUAACGCAUAACGUUUAUAGAGAGAAGAAGGUUGCUAUGCAAAAGACCUAGGAACUCUAGUGGACCAUGAAAGAGACAACAAAAAACAGC
ensembl:lncRNA